UACAGAGGUCUCAAGCGUUGUUCGGAUUCAUUGGGCGUAAAGGGUGCGUAGGCGGCGCGGUAAGUCGGGUGUGAAAUCUCGGAGCUUAACUCCGAAACUGCAUUCGAUACUGCCGUGCUUGAGGACUGGAGAGGGUCGGUGGAAUUCCCGGUGUAGCGGUGAAAUGCGUAGAGAUCGGGAGGAACACCAGAGGCGAAGGCGGCGACCUGGAUAGGUACUGACACUAAACUACGAAAGCGUGGGGAGCAAACAGG
rnacentral:rRNA from 1 species